rnacentral:rRNA from 1 species
UACGUAGGGUGCAAGCGUUGUUCGGAAUUAUUGGGCGUAAAGAGCUCGUAGGCGGUUUGUCGCGUCUGCUGUGAAAACUCGGGGCUUAACCCCGGGCCUGCAGUGGGUACGGGCAGACUAGAGUGCGGUAGGGGAGACUGGAAUUCCUGGUGUAGCGGUGAAAUGCGCAGAUAUCAGGAGGAACACCGGUGGCGAAGGCGGGUCUCUGGGCCGUAACUGACGCUGAGGAGCGAAAGCGUGGGGAGCGAACAGG